rnacentral:rRNA from 1 species
CCUACGGGAGACUGCAGUCGAGAAUCAUUCACAAUGGGGGAAACCCUGAUGGUGCGACGCCGCGUGGGGGAAUGAAGGUCUUCGGAUUGUAAACCCCUGUCAUGUGGGAGCAAAAUAAAAAGAUAGUACCACAAGAGGAAGAGACGGCUAACUCUGUGCCAGCAGCAGCGGUAAUACAGAGGUCUCAAGCGUUGUUCGGAAGCACUGGGCGUAAAGCGUGCGUAGGCUGUUUCGUAAGUCGUGUGUGAAAGGCGCGGGCCAAACCCGCGAACGGAACAUGAUACUGGGAGAAGAGAGUAAUGGAGGGGAAACCGGAAUUCGCGGUGUAGCAGUGAAAUGCGUAGAUAUCGAGAGGAACACUCGUGGCGAAGGCGGGUACCUGGCCAUUAACUGACGCUGAGGCACGAAGGCCAGGGGAGCGAAAGGGAUUAGAUACCCCUGUAGUC